rnacentral:rRNA from 1 species
UACGUAGGGUGCGAGCGUUGUCCGGAAUCAUUGGGCGUAAAGAGCGCGUAGGCGGUCCGGUAAGUCCGCUCUGAAAGUCCGGGGCUCAACCCCGGGAGGCGGGCGGAUACUGUCGGGCUAGAGUCCGGAAGAGGCGAGUGGAAUUCCUGGUGUAGCGGUGAAAUGCGCAGAUAUCAGGAGGAACACCAAUGGCGAAGGCAGCUCGCUGGGACGGUACUGACGCUGAGGCGCGAAAGCGUGGGGAGCAAACAGG